CGGUUGUCCCGGUUUAAGCGUGUAGGCUGGUUUUCCAGGCAAAUCCGGAAAAUCAAGGCUGAGGCGUGAUGACGAGGCACUACGGUGCUGAAGCAACAAAUGCCCUGCUUCCAGGAAAAGCCUCUAAGCAUCAGGUAACAUCAAAUCGUACCCCAAACCGACACAGGUGGUCAGGUAGAGAAUACCAAGGCGCUUGAGAGAACUCGGGUGAAGGAACUAGGCAAAAUGGUGCCGUAACUUCGGGAGAAGGCACGCUGAUAUGUAGGUGAAGUCCCUCGCGGAUGGAGCUGAAAUCAGUCGAAGAUACCAGCUGGCUGCAACUGUUUAUUAAAAACACAGCACUGUGCAAACACGAAAGUGGACGUAUACGGUGUGACGCCUGCCCGGUGC
rnacentral:rRNA from 1 species